UACGUAGGCAGCAAGCGUUGUUCGGAUUUACUGGGCGUAAAGGGUGUGUAGGCGGUUGUUUAAGUUUGGUGUGAAAUCUCCCGGCUCAACUGGGAGGGUGCGCCGAAUACUGAAUGACUCGAGUGCGGGAGAGGAGAGUGGAAUUCCUGGUGUAGCGGUGAAAUGCGUAGAUAUCAGGAGGAACACCGGUGGUGUAGACGGCUCUCUGGACCGUAACUGACGCUGAGACACGAAAGCGUGGGUAGCAAACAGG
rnacentral:rRNA from 1 species